CCCAACAUGAACCCUUAGAAAAGAGAGAGGAGUCCAGGCAGGAAGAUUCCGGAUUUUGCAUAAAGUGUGGUCAUCCAAAGACUCUCCAGCUAUUCAGGGGGUCCAGGCCAUCCACAGAGGUAGGAUGAUGUGACUGGCAGCGGAGCGGCCCUCCCCGUUCCGUCGCCGCCUGCCUGCCGUGCCCUCCCGCGCCUGCCGGCCGGGCUCCCUUCG
rnacentral:lncRNA from 1 species